rnacentral:rRNA from 1 species
AGGACGAACGCUGGCGGCGUGCUUAACACAUGCAAGUCGAGCGGAAAGGCCCUUCGGGGUACUCGAGCGGCGAACGGGUGAGUAACACGUGAGCAAUCUGCCCUUAGCUUCGGGAUAGCUCCGGGAAACCGGAAUUAAUACCGGAUAUGACUAUGGCUGACAUCAGCCACGGUGGAAAGUUUUUCGGCUAGGGAUGAGCUCGCGGCCUAUCAGCUAGUUGGUGGGGUAACGCCUACCAAGGCGACG